ACUUGUCAUGUUCGGUGGCAUAUGUCUAUGGUCCCAGCUACUCAGGAGGCUGAGGCAGGAGGGUCAGUUGAGCCCAGGGGUUCUGAGCUAUAGUGCUGUUUGCCUAUGGGGUGUCCACACUAAGUUCAACAUCAGUAUGGUGACCUCCCAGGAGCAGGACCACCAGAUUGCCUAAGGAGGGGUGAACCAGCCCAGGUCAAAAAGGGAGCAGGUCAAAACUUCUAUGCUGACUGGCUUAGUAGCUUGCACCUGUACUCCCAGCUACUCAGAAAGCCGAGGCAGGCGCAUCCCUUA
ensembl:misc_RNA Metazoa_SRP Metazoan signal recognition particle RNA